rnacentral:rRNA from 1 species
CUCCUACGGGGCGCAGCAGUAGGGAAUCUUCCACAAUGGACGAAAGUCUGAUGGAGCAACGCCGCGUGAGUGAAGAAGGGUUUCGGCUCGUAAAGCUCUGUUGGUAGUGAAGAAAGAUAGAGGUAGUAACUGGCCUUUAUUUGACGGUAAUUACUUAGAAAGUCACGGCUAACUACGUGCCAGCAGCCGCGGUAAUACGUAGGUGGCAAGCGUUGUCCGGG